AAUUGGUUAGUAAAUAAUAUUUUAGUGAAAAUAUAUAAUAGAAUUCAAUCUUUAUGUAUAAAGUUGGCUUUUUCCCUUCUUAUCACAAGUGGCAUAGGGGUUUGAUGACAUAUGUCCCCAUAUAUUUUUAGUUUUUUACAUUUUAGGUUCUUCUUCUUUUACACGAUUGCAAUUUGGUUUAAUAUUUUUUAAUUGUGCACUAUAAUCUUUCUUACAGUAACCAUUAUUAUAGGAAUUUUUAUAAUCUAUUUUAUUGAUCAGUAAAAUUAAAGAUGAAUAAAGGAAAAAUAAAAUAUUAUAAAUAUUUUAUUUAUUCACAACUAAAAAAUAACAUAAACUUUUACUAUUUUAUUAUUUUUACUAUUUUCUAUUAUUUUAUUACAGAUUAUAAAUUUAUUUGACUAUUAAAAAUUAUAAAAUAACUAAACUAAGAAAAAAUAGAAUACGACGCAUAAUCUAAAUCUAAAUCCCCACAUCACAAAGAAAAAACAAAAUAUUAUAGUACCACUAACUCAAUAAAGGUGUGGAACACAAAUGAACACAUCAAGCACCAAUCCAAAAAACCAAAAAACAAAAAAAAAACAGAUCGGAGGAAGAAUAAUAAACGGAAGACCAAAGUCACCACAAAGCAUGAAAACACAUACCUAAAACAGAGCCACCAGCUAAGAGGUAAAAAACACCUCACAA
rnacentral:lncRNA from 1 species